GAGGCUUUUACGGGACAUGGGUCCGAUAUGGAGGCGGCAGGACGGCGGUGAGAGGAGAAAUUGGGGUCUUGGGGUGCUGGGAGGGCUGAGGGAGUGGGUGAAAUAGGGAAUGUACUUUGGUUUAGGGUCGAACGAGGGUGGAAUAAGGAUAAGCAGACGAAGGGGACGAAGGGAAAGGAAUCUACCGAAAAUAGAAAUCAUUGCGCAGAUAAUACCGUUGCUGCUGAAAUACUCCAAAGUCUUUCCCUUACGUAACCCAACCAACUCACACCUGUACGCGCUAAUUAACGUCAUGGCCCACGUAAUCCACUCCAAAACCACUCCAGCAUUCUCGUAUUGUCAGAUAGAAAGGUCAGCGAUAGCCAGUCUACUGAAGAUACGAAAGGCUGCAUGUCCUUGAACCUUACUCCUUUCAAUCGGUGACAAUACAAUCACUUAGCGUACACAUAUAUAGCAAGGCAGAGUGACGGCCAGACACAAGUACCAGCCUUGCACUGCUCUGCCUCACUUCAGCUCCUCUAAGGACUGCCUCUUGCCGGUUUCUCAGCCCGCCGUCAGCACUCACUAAAAGACAUGAAGGGAAUAGCAGUACUAGUGGCGGUACUGUGCCUGGUCGCCGCGGGAUUCGCCUCUCCCAUACCUCAAGACAGAGAUGGACGCUUCAUUUUGCCUGUGUUACCGAUUGUCAAUAUCCAACCUCCAAUCGCUAAUUUAGACGAUAUCCUAAAUAUCCUCUUCCCCCCCGUUCAAAACCUCAAAUACAAGUGGUAUUACCUCAGAACAAAUAAGUCAGCGGCCCUUCUCUAUGUUAAAGGAAAGGGCACUGCCACUUAUCUGCCUGAUGAACUUCUUGAAGCUUCCCGUAUUGUGUCACGUACUUGUGUUCUUGUGUUUUCUUGUGUUUCUUUUAGCAUCGUACCCUCAUUCCAUCCUUUUCUGUACACUCGCAUCCCUACAACUGUUAGUGACCGAUAUGUUUCCACCCGUGCACUUCUUACCGUCUUGACGUGACUGAGUGCACCUUUUUUCUUUGUUUUUGUUGCCCUUGGUCAGUUCUCCUCUCUUGCUUAAAAGUAAAGUGAGCUGUUGCAAUGGAGAUGUGGAGUAUAGAUGAACGCGACAGCCAAAACAAGCAAGUUCCGAAGACUUCAUUACUCCUACACUUGAGUCCCGAGUCUGACAGUCCAGCUCCCUCUGUACCGCUCUGACUCAACGCUGAAGGCCAACACAAGAAGCCACUACGUACGUUCUCUUUUGCUUAGGACACCGCAAUGUCUUAACCUGCCUCGGCCCUUCCUGCGUGAAGACCCGAAGGCAGCUUGGACGAAUUAUUGUCUCUUGUUUCGUACUCGUGUGUGUCUACCAGUUUGUAUGUUAUGUGUCCGUGUCUGUGUAUGAGUCUGUAUUAAAUUGAUGUUCACUUAA